rnacentral:rRNA from 1 species
GACGAACGCUGGCGGCGUGCUUAACACAUGCAAGUCGAACGGAAAGGCCCUGCUUUUGUGGGGUGCUCGAGUGGCGAACGGGUGAGUAACACGUGAGUAACCUGCCCUUGACUUUGGGAUAACUUCAGGAAACUGGGGCUAAUACCGGAUAGGAGCUCCUGCUGCAUGGUGGGGGUUGGAAAGUUUCGGCGGUUGGGGAUGGACUCGCGGCUUAUCAGCUUGUUGGUGGGGUAGUGGCUUACCAAGGCUUUGCCGGGUAGCCGGCCUGAGAGGGUGACCGGACACAUUGGGACUGAGCUACGGCCCAGACUACUACGGGAGGCAGCAGUGGGGAAUAUUGCACAAUGGGCGGAAGCCUGAUGCAGCAACGCCGCGUGCGGGAUGACGGCCUUCGGGUUGUAAACCGCUUUCGCCUGUGACGAAGCGUGAGUGACGGUAAUGGGUAAAGAAGCACCGGCUAAAUACGUG